rnacentral:rRNA from 1 species
CCUACGGGUGGCAGCAGUGGGGAAUAUUGGGCAAUGGGCGCAACCCUGAUGCAGCAACGCCGCGUGAGGGAAGAAGUAUUUCGGGAUGUAAACCUCUAUUCGCAGGGACGAAGAAAGUGACGGUACCUGAAGAAUAAGCCACGGAUAAAUACGUGCCAGCAGCCGCGGUAAGAAGUAGGUGGCAAGCGUUAUGCGGAUUUACUGGGUGUAAAGGGCGGGUAGGCGGGAAAGCAAGGAAGAUGUGAAAACCCGGGGCUCAACCUGUGGACUGCAGUGGAAACUGGUUUGCUUGAGUACUGGAGAGGCAGACGGAAUUCCGAGUGUAGCGGUGAAAUGCGUAGAUAUUAGGAGGAACACCAGUGGCGAAGGCGGUCUGCUGGACAGCAACUGACGCUGAGGCGCGAAAGCGUGGGGAGCAAACAGGAUUAGAUACCCGUGUAGUC